rnacentral:rRNA from 1 species
CGAAGGGGCGUAGCGUUGUUCGGAAUUACUGGGCGUAAAGCGCACGUAGGCGGACAUUUAAGUCAGGGGUGGAAAUCCCGGGGCUCAACCCCGGAACUGCCUUUGAUACUGGGUGUCUUGAGUGUGGUAGAGGUGAGUGGAAUUGCGAGUGUAGAGGUGAAAUUCGUAGAUAUUCGCAGGAACACCAGUGGCGAAAGGCGGCUCACUGGACCACAACUGACGCUGAGGUGCGAAAGCGUGGGGAGCAAACAGGAUU